UGAUGCACUGUACCCUCAAACCAAGAGGCAAAG
rnacentral:piRNA from 1 species